rnacentral:lncRNA from 1 species
AAGUCUGGAAUCCAGAGAAGGCGGUGGGGAGGCAGGCAUCUCCUGGGAGGAGCCAAAGUACAGAGUCUUAAUUUGUCUGCUGUAGAGAUGGAUGCUUCUGGCUGUUAGGUGCCAGAGUAUGGACUAAACACGGAGGAAGGAAGAAGAUGAAUCUUAAAGGAGCCCACCUACAUGUUUCAACUGCGUGAUGCUUUCUGAAUACCAAGUAUCUGGAAAGAAAAGGAGGCACGUUUAUUUGGACGCUGUGCACACACAAAAGAUAGAAGUGGCACCACCACUUAGCUCCUCUUCCUUCUCUGGUCCAGGGAAAGGAAUGCUCAUCAUCGGGGUGUUCUUCCUGGGAUGCAUGUGGUUGGCCAAGGACAUGAUGCUCACAACCCUGCUCGGACCACAGUGGCAGCAGAGCCUCCACUUGCUGCUCUUUAAUGAGGUCUAUGUGGAAGCGCCCCUCGUUCUGAUGGGGGUCCAGUCUCCUGUGCAGUCCACGCCUUUCCCUCAGAGGUCACCUGCUUCCACAAGACUGCUUCAGAAGAGGGGUUUUGCUGAUGACCUCAUUGGUUUAUUUUGUUUCCAAAACCCAGAGGAGUGAGUGUGUAUAAGAGGGGUUUCUAAUUACUAUUGGUUCAGUUUCCCUCCAGAGACUAGGUAGCAGCCCUAAAAAUUAAAACAUAACUUUGACUAAAUUAUAUUGACAAUGAUAGUGUUUUUAUUUCUGUCGACUGACACUUGUUUAACUUUUUCUCAGUCUGUUAGAAAAUUACAAACAGAAUCUGAAGGAAUAUUCUUUAUUUUUUAUGUCAGGAAGCAAGAAGUCAGGGAAGCACCACA